rnacentral:rRNA from 1 species
UGAAUACGAGACGCUAAGGCGUCGAAGUAGUGUAUGUCAUACUUCCAAGAAAAGCUUGCACUGUCAUAGAUAAAAAACGCCUGUACCAUAACCGACACAGGUGGGUAGGUAGAGUAUACUAAGGGGCGCGAGAUAACUCUCUCUAAGGAACUCGGCAAAAUAACUCCGUAACUUCGGGAGAAGGAGUGCCUUAUUCUUAAGGUUGCAAUAACAAGAUCCAAGCAACUGUUUAUCAAAAACACAGGUCUCCGCUAAGUCGUAAGACGAUGUAUGGGGGCUGACGCCUGCCCAGUGCCAGAAGGUUAAAGAAGCUGGUUAGCAUUUGCGAAGCUAGUAACUGAAGCCCUGGUGAACGGCGGCCGUAACAAUAACGGUCCUAAGGUAGCGAAAUUCCUUGUCGGGUAAGUUCCGACCCGCACGAAAGGCGUAAUGAUUUGGAUACUGUCUCGGAGAGGGGCUCGGUGAAAUAGACUUGUCUGUGAAGAUGCGGACUACCUGCACCAGGACAGAAAGACCCUAUGAAGCUUUACUGUAACUUGAAAUUGAAAUCGGACUUUAUUCGCGCAGUAUAGGUGGGAGGCGUUGAUUAUAAUCUUGCGGGAUUAUUGGAGCCAUUAGUGAGAUACCACUCUUGUAAUGUUAGAUUUCUAACUUUGAAUCAUUAUCUGGUCAAAGAACAGUUUCAGGCGGGCAGUUUGACUGGGGCGGUCGCCUCCCAAACGGUAACGGAGGCGUACAAAGGUUUCCUCUGAACGGUUAGAAAUCGUAUCUAGAGUGUAAAGGCAUAAGGAAGCUUGACUGUGAGACCUACAAGUCGAGCAGGGACGAAAGUCGGUCUUAGUGAUCUGACGGUACUGAGUGGAAAGGCCGUCACUCAACGGAUAAAAGUUACUCUAGGAUAACAGGCUGAUCUCCCCCAAGAGUUCACAUCGACGGGGAGGUUUGGCACCUCGAUGUCGGCUCAUCGCAUCCUGGGGCGGUAGUACGUCCCAAGGGUUGGGCUGUUCGCCCAUGAAAGCGGUACGCGAGCUGGGUUCAGAACGUCGUGAGACAGUUCGGUCCAUAUCCGGUGUAGGCGUUAGAAUAUUGAGAGGAGCCUUCUUUAGUACGAGAGGACCGAGAAGGACAUACCUCUGGUGUACCAGUUAUCGUGCCAACGGUAGACGCUGGGUAGCUAUGUAUGGAGUGGAUAACCGCUGAAAGCAUCUAAGUGGGAAGCCCACCUCAAGAUAAGUAUUCUCC